GUACACACCGCCCGUCCACACCAUGGGAGUCAGCAACGCCCGAAGUCAGUGACCUAACCGAAAGGAAGGAGCUGCCGAAGGCGGGGCAGGUAACUGGGGUGAAGUCGUAACAAGGUAGC
rnacentral:rRNA from 1 species